CAAGUAGCCCGCGCCGAGCGUGAAGCUGUUGCGAGAUAACGCCCGAAUCUCCGCAACAGCUUC
rnacentral:sRNA from 1 species